AUUGAACGCUGGCGGCAUGCUUUACACAUGCAAGUCGAACGGUAACAGGUUAAGCUGACGAGUGGCGAACGGGUGAGUAAUGCAUCGGAACGUGCCCGAUCGUGGGGGAUAACGCAGCGAAAGCUGCGCUAAUACCGCAUACGAUCUGAGGAUGAAAGCGGGGGACCGUAAGGCCUCGCGCGAUCGGAGCGGCCGAUGUCAGAUUAGGUAGUUUUGGGGUAAAGGCCCACCAAGCCGACGAUCUGUAGCCGGUCUGAGAGGACGACCAGCCACACUGGGACUGAGACACGGCCCAGACUCCUACGGGAGGCAGCAGUGGGGAAUUUUGGACAAUGGGCGAAAGCCUGAUCCAGCAAUGCCGCGUGCAGGAAGAAGGCCUUCGGGUUGUAAACUGCUUUUGUACGGAGCGAAAAGGCCCUUUCUAAUACAAGGGGCUCAUGACGGUACCGUAAGAAUAAGCACCGGCUAACUACGUGCCAGCAGCCGCAGUAAUAC
rnacentral:rRNA from 1 species